CUGCAGACAAGCCAUGUGCAUUGCAAUCAGAAACAUGUCAAAGGGUCUAUAAAGACAUUACUGACCAUGAAAUGAGAAGAUGCAUAGAGGAUUGCCAAUCCCACACAAUAAUUGUUUGUGGUCACAGGCCGGUGCCAAAUUCAAGAUCAUAGAACAGAUACAGAUGGAC